GACAGAGGGUGCAAACGUUGCUCGGAAUCACUGGGCGUAAAGGGCGUGUAGGCGGGACGGUAAGUCGGGCGUGAAAUCCCUAGGCUCAACCUAGGAACUGCACUCGAAACUACCAUUCUUGAGUGUCGGAGAGGAAAGCGGAAUUCCUGGUGUAGAGGUGAAAUUCGUAGAUAUCAGGAGGAACACCAGUGGCGAAGGCGGCUUUCUGGACGAUAACUGACGCUGAGACGCGAAAGCGUGGGGAGCAAACGGG
rnacentral:rRNA from 1 species